rnacentral:rRNA from 1 species
AAUCAACGCUGGCGGCGUGCCUAACACAUGCAAGUCGCGCGCGAAAGGGGGGCAACUCCCAAGUAGAGCGGCGAACGGGUGAGUAACACGUGGGUAAUCUACCUUCGAGUGGGGAACAACACCGGGAAACUGGUGCUAAUUCCGCAUAACAUCGUCGGGGCUUCGGUUCUGACGCUCAAAGCUGGGGAUCGCAAGACCUAGCGCUUGAAGAUGAGCCCGCGUCCGAUUAGCUAGUGGCGGGGUAAUGGCCCACCAAGGCUUCGAUCGGUAGCCGGCCUGAGAGGGCGGACGGCCACACUGGAACUGAGACACGGUCCAGACUCCUACGGGAGGCAGCAGUGGGGAAUUUUUCGCAAUGGGGGCAACCCUGACGAAGCAACGCCGCGUGGGGGUGAAGGUCUUCGG